ACAGCAAAGUAGUCAGGAACAGAUCUAGU
rnacentral:piRNA from 1 species